GGUGAUAUAGCUCAGUUGGUGGAGUACUUGCCUUGCAUGCACAACGCCCUGGGUUCAAUCCCCAGCACCA
rnacentral:tRNA from 1 species